GGGGGUACUCGAGCGGCGAACGGGUGAGUAACACGUGAGUAAUCUGCCCUGGACUCUGGGAUAGCCACCGGAAACGGUGAUUAAUACCGGAUAUGACCACUACUCGCAUGGGUUGGUGGUGGAAAGUUCUUUCGGUCCAGGAUGUGCUCGCGGCCUAUCAGCUUGUUGGUGAGGUAAUGGCUCACCAAGGCUUUGACGGGUAACCGGCCUGAGAGGGUGACCGGUCACACUGGGACUGAGACACGGCCCAGACUCCUACGGGAGGCAGCAGUGGGGAAUAUUGGACAAUGGGCGGAAGCCUGAUCCAGCAACGCCGCGUGAGGGAUGACGGCCUUCGGGUUGUAAACCUCUUUCAGUACCGACGAAGCGAAAGUGACGGUAGGUACAGAAGAAGGACCGGCCAACUACGUGCCAGCAGCCGCGGUAAUACGUAGGGUCCGAGCGUUGUCCGGAAUUAUUGGGCGUAAAGGGCUCGUAGGCGGUUUGUCGCGUCGGGAGUGAAAACACCGGGCUUAACUCGGUGCUUGCUUUCGAUACGGGCAGACUAGAGGUAUGCAGGGGAGAAUGGAAUUCCUGGUGUAGCGGUGAAAUGCGCAGAUAUCAGGAGGAACACCGGUGGCGAAGGCGGUUCUCUGGGCAUUACCUGACGCUGAGGAGCGAAAGUGUGGGGAGCGAACAGGAUUAGAUACCCUGGUAGUCCACACCGUAAACGUUGGGCGCUAGGUGUGGGACCUAUUCCAUGGGUUCCGUGCCGUAGCUAACGCAUUAAGCGCCCC
rnacentral:rRNA from 1 species